rnacentral:rRNA from 1 species
UACGGAGGGUGCAAGCGUUACUCGGAAUCACUGGGCGUAAAGAGCGCGUAGGCGGGAUAGCAAGUCAGCGGUAAAAAUGCGGUGCUCAACGCCGUCGAGCCGUUGAAACUGGCGUUCUUGAGUGGGCGAGAAGUAUGCGGAAUGCGUGGUGUAGCGGUGAAAUGCAUAGAUAUCACGCAGAACUCCGAUUGCGAAGGCAGCAUACCGGCGCCCUACUGACGCUGAGGCACGAAAGCGUGGGUAUCGAACAGG